UGUGUGAUUAGAAAAAAAAUGAUAUAUAUAUAUUAAAUAGUGAGAUAAAUAAAUAGUGAAGCAUUAGAUUAGUUAGUUAGUUUAAAAUUUAAAAUUUAAAUUUAAAUCAGCAUAAUUUUAUCUGAUUAGUUAGAUAUUUAUUUUUAAAUUUAAACCUAUUAUACGAUAUGUUAUAUACGUAUAUACUCUAUAACCCUAGCAGCCAGAUAGUAUCGUAUUCCCUUAUUCUCACCAUCUCUCAAUUUCUUUUUUUAUUCUCUCUAUUGAACCAAAUCAAUUGUUUUAAUCUUAAGAGCUUCGGGGUUAGCAAUCAACCGAUCAUCGUUCCGUGUCUUCGAAAUCUUCAGGGCCUAGAAGGUAUCGUAAGAGUUAAUUACAGCGGAGUUGAGGUAAGGAAAAAUAAUGAUACUUUAUACUUGCUUUUUAUAUGGUUUGAGUAUCUAGUAUGACUGCUUGAAUAAAUUGUAUUGAAACUGUGGAAUGUGAUAGUUUCGGUGAAAUAGUGUUUUAUCGAUGAAUUGUAUAUGGUUGUUUAAUCAUGUUCCAGGUACUUGGAAGUGGUUGGAAACCACACAUGUAUGGUGAUGUGGUAAGUGAGGCAGUGUACGUAAGGGUGCACUGGUUAUUGGUACUGCGUUCUGGUUAAGAACGUAAGACACUCCAGAUUUGUAUGGAAGCUGGAGUGUGAUUGUGAGUGUGAGUGUGUGGUAUUUCAGUAUUUGUGUGGCUGCCUCUAUUUAUACUUAUGAUUAGGUUGUUGUAUGUUUGAUGUAUAUGUUUGUGCUAUGAUGUGUGAAUGCUGGUACAUAGUAUUGUGUUUUUCCUUACUGGGCUUUGCAGCUCACCCCUUAUUUACCCCCUAUGUGCAGAUAAGUAAGCCUGUAAGCUUUCGGUGACAAGUUGAGUCUGGGCAGCAUGGGGUGUAUCUCGUGUGAUCAUGUAACUGCGUGUGGUCUUGGCCAUCUUCCGCUGAAAGUUUUUUUUUUAAUUUAUUAAACUUAUCGAGGAUGUUGUCGUUUAAAUUUUCUAUUACUUUUCCCUAAGUGGUAAUACUUUAUUUUCAACUGGGUACCCAUGUUUUGAAAAGUGUUUUUUUUUAAAUAAAGGCAACAUUAGUAUCUUAACGCCA